UCUUGCUCCAAAAAGAUAGAUAAUUCAACAUCGAGGUCAUAAUCUUUUUCUUAAAUUUGGACUUUCAGAAAAAAUUAUGCUGUUAUCCCUACGGUAGCUUAAUUUAUUUCCAGUUUGGAGAUGAAAAUGAAAAGGAAAGGAAAAGAUAUAGUUUUUUACCGCCCCAGUGCAACAAAAGUUAAGUUCGACAGGGUCUUGUCGUCCUUCUUAUUUAUGCAAGCCUUUUUACUCGCAUGUAAAAUUAAAAUAGUGGUGGUAAUAAAGGUAUUCAUAUGUCAGACCUUUCAUACUAGCCUUAAAUUAAAAGGCAAAUGAUUAUGCUACCUUAGCACAAAAUGAUUGCGGCUAUUUAAAAUCAUUGAGCAGGUCCUACUGAAUAUAAAUACAUUCAGAAAUGUUUUUGAUAAACAGACAAUAAAUAAUGGCCGAGUUCAUAUACCUCAAAGUAAAUGAUUUAAUUAGGAGAUUAUUUAUAGAUAGGAAUUUCAGAAAGUGAAGAGUUUUACUAAUAAAAUCAUUAUUGAUUUUAAAAGAUGAAUUUCUUUUAAAAAGACUUAAUAAUCCUGCUUAUAAGGUUUGAGAACCAAGAGGACACUAUUAAUCCUGGGAUAAAGUUAGAAAGGAGAAUAAAGUUGUUUUAAAAGUUUAUCCUUUUAAAAAUUUAAGUAUUAAUACCAUAAAAGAAAACCAGAUAUCAUGGAAUGCGAAUGAAAUUUCAUCUCUAAAGUUAUUUUAGAAAUUUUUAUGAAACAAAAUUUAUAAAAAUAAUCUUAGAUCAUUUCGAUUUCGGGACAAUUUUUUGUAAAAAAUGAAUUGAUUUUCCCUGAUACUAAAGGUACAGUUUCUUUCUAAUUUUCAAUCAAUGUGUUCCCUUGCGGUAAAACGAUUAUGAGAAUUGAUAAAUGAAGGAAAAUAUUUAUUUAAAUAUAUUUGUAAAAAAUAAU
rnacentral:rRNA from 1 species